AAUAACCUUUUGGAGUGCAAUGCCACGGUUGAUGGUAGGUGAAGCAGGCUGCAAGUCUGACAUGCCAGUGUACAUUUCCUUGUCCAUCAAGAGAAAUGCUAUAGUCUUAUAAUGGAUAACUAUACCUGAUCAUGGCUCUCGGCAUAGGCAAUGCAUUUUUCUGUAUAUCUCCUGUUAGUCAAAGUUUGCACUAUUUCACUCAUUGACCAUUUGCGGUCCUCUUUGUUCUUCAGGUAGUCAAUCCAUCUAUCAGGAAUGGCCAUUGCCAGGCGGAAGUCAAACCCUACUCCACCUUCAUCAACUGGCCGACAAAGCACUGGCAUGCCCGAAACAUCUUCAGCAACAAUAGUUGCUUCCGGCAAGAGUUUAUGCAUUAAAUGGUUUGCGAGCAUCAUGUAAACAAUUGCAUCCACAUCGGUAUCCAAACUGAAAUACUCCUUGUAGUUUCCAGUAAAUCCCUUAUUGAUACCAUGGUGAUGGUAUAGCAUUGAUGUAACCCCAUCAAAUCGGAAGCCAUCAAACAUGAAUUCGUCCAUCCAAUAUCUCAAAUUAGAAAGAAGAAAUCUUAAGACCUCCCAAUUGGCAUAGUUGAACAGACGACUAUCCCAGAGUUUAUGGUAGCCCCUAUCUCCUGUAUGAAAAUAAGACUCAUGAGUGUUUUGUCCAACGUCAUAGCCAUUUAGACCAUCGGUCACAUUAUUACUCGCAUGGCUAUGGACAACAUCCAUCAGAACUCGUAAUCCUAAACUAUGUGCCUUGUCAACAAGAUAUUUCAGAUCCUCUGGUGUUCCUGAUCUGCUGCUGACUGCGAAAAAAUUUGUCACGUGAUACCCAAAAGAAGCAUAGUAGGAAUGUUCCAUGAUUGCCAUUAACUGAACUGUGUUGUAGUUAUUUGCCCGUAUGCGUGGUAACACAUUGUCUGCAAAUUCUCUGUAUGUGCUUACUUCUGGCUCUUCACCACUCAUCCCCACAUGAGCCUCAUAGAUGCGUGGAGCAUCAGGUUUUGGAGGUCGAGGAUGCUUAAACACGUAC
rnacentral:sRNA from 1 species